rnacentral:lncRNA from 1 species
AUGAUUCUACAAUAGCCACUGGAAUGAGGAUGCCCUCCAAGUUGGAACAAGUAGGCAACCACUGGGAUAACGCUCAGCCUGGACGCUAGGGAGCCCUUCCACAAGUCGUCCUUGUCCAAGAAGAACAUGGUCACCUAUUUCUCCUGACUCGACCUACAUAAUGACCAAACUUACUGCAGUCCCCUGUGACUUUUCCCCAAACCCUGUCACUUUGCCCAGAGCUGCUUCUCUGACACUAUCCUAGAAGCCUGAUGUGCUGAGGUCAGGAGAUACUCCUAGCCUCCACUACCCUGCAACCCCAGCUGAGGGACAUUAUGGAGCUUUGA